AUGGCAGCAGCUCACGCGGACUGUUCCGGCCAGAAGGAGACGAUGGCAACUUUUCACCCGACUUUGUGGGGAGAUUACUUCCUUACACACCAGCCACAAUCUUCAGGGCAGCAACCUCAGAUGAGAGAAAGAAUGGAAGUUUUAUUGGAGCAAGUAAGAGCAAUAAUAAAAGAGUCAAAUGGAAUACAAAAAGUAAUGGAGCUUAUACUCUCGCUUGAACGACUUGGCUUGGACUACCACUAUGAGAAUGAGAUCGGGGAACUACUGGAUGUCGUUUUGAACUCUGAUUAUGAUGAUAAUAAUCUACAGUUGGUUUCACUUCGAUUUUAUCUUUUGCGGAAAAAUAGAUAUGAUGUCUCAUCUGAUGUAUUCAAUAAAUUUCAAGACAAACAAGGAGAUUUCUUUCAAUCAGAUACAAAUAGUUUAUUGAGCUUAUAUAGUGCAGCGCAUAUGAGGACCAAGGGAGAGAAAGUACUUGACAAGGCAAUCUAUUUCACUAAAAAACACCUCCUUGGCGCGUUAGAACAUUUGGAAUCACCAUGUGUAGAGGAAGUGUAUUUUGCUCUUCUUACACCUCCUUUUAGAAGGGUUAGGAUAUUAGAAGCAAGAAGCUACAUACCUUGUUAUGAAAAAGAGCCUACACGAAAUGAAGCCAUAUUGGAGCUUGCAAAAUUGAAUUUUAAUAUUCUGCAACUUCUUUUCUGUGAGGAGUUAAAGGAGGUCACCUUGUGGUGGCAGAAACUCAAGGUCGGAUCAAAUUUGAGUUUCGUAAGAGACAGAAUAGUAGAAACUUAUUUUUGGAUAAAUGGAACUAGCUACAAUCACAAAUAUUCUUAUUCCCGUAUUAUAGCUACAAAGAUCACUGCUUUCAUGACUAUAAUAGAUGACAUAUUGGACACCUAUGGUAGCACUGAAGAGAGCAUGCAACUUGCAGAAGCAAUUAAUAGGUGGGAUGAAGGUGCAGUAGAUGUGCUUCCAGAAUACAUGAAGGAUGUCUACUUAUAUUUGUUGGAAACAUUUCGUUCUUUUGAGGAGCAUUUAGGACCUGGGAAGAGCUACCGUGUUGUUUAUCUUAAAGAAUCGUUCAAGAAAUUAGUUCAAGCAUACAGCGCUGAACUAAAAUGGCGUGAUGAAAAAUAUGUGCCGAAGAAAAUUAGCGAACAUCUUGAAGUUUCAACAAUAAGUAUCGGGACAUCUGUGGUAGCAUGUGCUUUUUUCGUUGGCAUGGAUAACAUAAAUGCAGACACUUUCAAUUGGCUUUCUAGCAAGACGAAACUUCUCAAGUCUUUUGCUAUAUUUGUACGGCUCACAAACGACAUGGCAUCAACACAGCGUGAGCAACAAGGGGUCCACUGUGCAUCUACUAUCCAAUCUUACAUGAAGGAGCAUGAGAUGACAAAAGAUGACGCGUGUGAAAAGAUAAAGGAACUUAUUGAGAAUUCAUGGGAAGAUAUGUUAAAACAUUAUUUGGAAUUGAUAGAACAACCAAUGGUUGUGCCACAAAUUAUACUUGAGCUUUCAAGAACUGUGGAUAACAUGUACAAGCAUACCGAUGCAUACACUAAUUCAAAGACAAUCAAAGAUACUAUAAGAAUGCUUUUUAUUGACCCAAUGGAAUAG
rnacentral:rRNA from 1 species